rnacentral:rRNA from 1 species
GAUGAACGCUAGCGGCAGGCUUAAUACAUGCAAGUCGAGGGGCAGCAGGACUGUAGCAAAUACAGUUGCUGGCGACCGGCAAACGGGUGCGGAACACGUACGCAAUCUACCCAGAACUGAUGAAUAGCCCUCCGAAAGGAGGAUUAAUACAUCGUAACAUAAUGAAGUGGCAUCACUUUUAUUAUUAUAGCUCCGGCGGUUUUGGAUGAGCGUGCGCCUGAUUAGGUAGUUGGCGGGUAACGGCCCACCAAGCCUUCGAUCAGUAACUGGUGUGAGAGCACGACC